UUAUGGCCAUACCACAUUGAAACAUUGGUUCCUCAUACAAUCACUGAAGUUAAGCAACAUUGAGCCUAGUCAGUACUUAGAUGGAAGACCACUUGAGAAUACCAGGUGCUGUAAG